rnacentral:rRNA from 1 species
CCCUUAGAUGUUCUGGGCGGCCCGCGCACUACAUUGGCACUAGCAAAGAGAUCCUAGAUUGAAUUCUUUGGGGUAUUCUUCUAAAUGGUGUCGUGACUGGGAUAAAUCCUUGUAAUUAUUGGUUUUGAACGAGGAAUUCCUUGUAAUCGCGGUUUAUCAGCUCGCGUUGGAUGCGUCCCUGCCCUUUGUACACACCGCCCGUCGCUCCUACCGAUGGAUCGUCCGGUGAAGCUCACGGAGUGACUGUUCACGCAACGGUUUACGAAGUGAAAUGGACCUCACGAUUUAGAGGAAGGAGAAGUCGUAACA